GCAGAGCGGUCUCGCGUACAUGAGAUUUUUCAAUUUUUUAGUUCUGUCAUUCGAAUAAGAAAUUUAUUUUGAAACUCCUCAAUCUUAAUUUUUGAGUUAAAAACCCGUUUCUGAUUUUUAAUGUUAUGAUUCGAAUUCAAAAUUACACAUAUCAUUUUUCACUGAAAAUUUAAUUUCUAGUUUUAAUUCGAAGUUUUGGAAUUAAUUAAUUUGCGAUUCUGGUCUCAUAACUCGCAGUUUUCCAAUUACUUUUUUAUUCGAAUGAUGUAAUUAAGGAUGCAGAUAAUAUUGUAUUACUUAGUUCUUAUUUUGACAGUAACAAUUGGGAAAUAAAAAAAAUUCACCUAGUGCUAAUUCGAUUACUUUCUGUAUGCGCUUUUCGCAACCCCGCAAGCUACACAAUUGCCAGUUUCUCGAUCGACGCGUAAGAUCAAAAUCGGAACACCGUGCGCCAGCGAGAAUCAAAUCUUUCGAAAAUGGCGGACAGUAAAAUUGAUUCUGUGCCUGGAACAGAGUGGAUACUACAUAUUUGACAUCAUUUCAUUUUAUUUUCGACGUAAAUGAGAUCCAAAUUGAAAAAAAAAAAAAACCAAAAGACAAACCCCACGCACACGGAAUCGAACCCACGAGCCUCAUGCUAUGAAUCGGAACGCUUGCCGCUGCGCUGACCACUAUUUGUUCCACAUGUAAUCUUAAAAAGCUUGUGUACUACACAUAAAAUGUUUAAACAAUAAUAUCUGCAAAACGCUUGGCCAUCUCGUCUUUUUACUUGGCUCACUUUAAGUUCUAGUCGAGCCCAACAUAUACUGUGAAUUUGGCCGAAAUCGAUGACGACGAGUUCUCAACCUCCCCUUGGACCCGUAUGCGUGUAAGUGACCGACUGCAGCGCACCAAGUAGUGGGGAGGGAAAGCUCGGGCCGUCCGUGAGCCUUUGCAUGUGGUAAUCUCAUGUACGCGAGACCGCUCUGCGUGUGCGUAAAAUCGGGCAAUUUUUGUCAGCGCCAUCUACUAGUGGGGAGGCAAAGCUCUUGUAUAUAAGGAAAAG
rnacentral:lncRNA from 1 species